rnacentral:rRNA from 1 species
AUAAUGGGUCAGCGACUUAUAUUCUGUAGCAAGGUUAACCGAAUAGGGGAGCCGAAGGGAAACCGAGUCUUAACUGGGCGUUAAGUUGCAGGGUAUAGACCCGAAACCCGGUGAUCUAGCCAUGGGCAGGUUGAAGGUUGGGUAACACUAACUGGAGGACCGAACCGACUAAUGUUGAAAAAUUAGCGGAUGACUUGUGGCUGGGGGUGAAAGGCCAAUCAAACCGGGAGAUAGCUGGUUCUCCCCGAAAGCUAUUUAGGUAGCGCCUCGUGAAUUCAUCUCCGGGGGUAGAGCACUGUUUCGGCAAGGGGGUCAUCCCGACUUACCAACCCGAUGCAAACUGCGAAUACCGGAGAAUGUUAUCACGGGAGACACACGGCGGGUGCUAACGUCCGUCGUGAAGAGGGAAACAACCCAGACCGCCAGCUAAGGUCCCAAAGUCAUGGUUAAGUGGGAAACGAUGUGGGAAGGCCCAGACAGCCAGGAUGUUGGCUUAGAAGCAGCCAUCAUUUAAAGAAAGCGUAAUAGCUCACUGGUCGAGUCGGCCUGCGCGGAAGAUGUAACGGGGCUAAACCAUGCACCGAAGCUGCGGCAGCGACGCUGAUGCGUUGUUGGGUAGGGGAGCGUUCUGUAAGCCUGUGAAGGUGUGCUGUGAGGCAUGCUGGAGGUAUCAGAAGUGCGAAUGCUGACAUAAGUAACGAUAAAGCGGGUGAAAAGCCCGCUCGCCGGAAGACCAAGGGUUCCUGUCCAACGUUAAUCGGGGCAGGGUGAGUCGACCCCUAAGGCGAGGCCGAAAGGCGUAGUCGAUGGGAAACAGGUUAAUAUUCCUGUACUUGGUGUUACUGCGAAGGGGGGACGGAGAAGGCUAUGUUGGCCGGGCGACGGUUGUCCCGGUUUAAGCGUGUAGGCUGGUUUUCCAGGCAAAUCCGGAAAAUCAAGGCUGAGGCGUGAUGACGAGGCACUACGGUGCUGAAGCAACAAAUGCCCUGCUUCCAGGAAAAGCCUCUAAGCAUCAGGUAACAUCAAAUCGUACCCCAAACCGACACAGGUGGUCAGGUAGAGAAUACCAAGGCGCUUGAGAGAACUCGGGUGAAGGAACUAGGCAAAAUGGUGCCGUAACUUCGGGAGAAGGCACGCUGAUAUGUAGGUGAAGUCCCUCGCGGAUGGAGCUGAAAUCAGUCGAAGAUACCAGCUGGCUGCAACUGUUUAUUAAAAACACAGCACUGUGCAAACACGAAAGUGGACGUAUACGGUGUGACGCCUGCCCGGUGCCGGAAGGUUAAUUGAUGGGGUCAGCGCAAGCGAAGCUCUUGAUCGAAGCCCCGGUAAACGGCGGCCGUAACUAUAACGGUCCUAAGGUAGCGAAAUUCCUUGUCGGGUAAGUUCCGACCUGCACGAAUGGCGUAAUGAUGGCCAGGCUGUCUCCACCCGAGACUCAGUGAAAUUGAACUCGCUGUGAAGAUGCAGUGUACCCGCGGCAAGACGGAAAGACCCCGUGAACCUUUACUAUAGCUUGACACUGAACAUUGAGCCUUGAUGUGUAGGAUAGGUGGGAGGCUUUGAAGUGUGGACGCCAGUCUGCAUGGAGCCGGCCUUGAAAUACCACCCUUUAAUGUUUGAUGUUCUAACGUUGACCCGUGAUCCGGGUUGCGGACAGUGUCUGGUGGGUAGUUUGACUGGGGCGGUCUCCUCCUAAAGAGUAACGGAGGAGCACGAAGGUUGGCUAAUCCUGGUCGGACAUCAGGAGGUUAGUGCAAUGGCAUAAGCCAGCUUGACUGCGAGCGUGACGGCGCGAGCAGGUGCGAAAGCAGGUCAUAGUGAUCCGGUGGUUCUGAAUGGAAG